rnacentral:rRNA from 1 species
AUUGAACGCUGGCGGCAGGCCUAACACAUGCAAGUCGAGCGGAGCGGCGGACGGGCGAGUAAUGCCUAGGAAUCUAACUGGUAGUUGGGGAUAACUAACGGCAACAAGCGCUAAUACAGCAUACUAGCCGAUGAGUCUAGGUCGGAGUAGCUAGCUGGUGGGGUAAAGGACUACCAAGGCGACGAUCCGUAACUGGUCUGAGAGGAUGAUCAGUCACACUGGAACUGAGACACGGGCCAGACUCCUACGGGAGGCAGCAGUGGGUAAUAUUGGACAAUGGGCGAAAGCCUGAUCCAGCCAUGCCGCGGGUGUGAAGAAGGUCUUCGGAUUGUAAAGCACUUUAAGUUGGGAGGCGUUACCAACAGAAUAAGCACCGGCUAACUACGUGCCAGCAGCCGCGGUAAUUC